rnacentral:rRNA from 1 species
AGAGUUUGAUCCUGGCUCAGAUUGAACGCUGGCAGCAGGCUUAACACAUGCAAGUCGAGCGGGGAAGAGUAGCUUGCUACUUUACCUAGCGGCGGACGGGUGAGUAAUGCUUAGGAAUCUGCCUAUUAGUGGGGGACAACAUCUCGAAAGGGAUGCUAAUACCGCAUACGCCCUACGGGAGAAAGCAGGGGACCUUCGGGCCUUGCGCUAAUAGAUGAGCCUAAGUCGGAUUAGCUAGUUGGUGGGGUAAAGGCCUACCAAGGCGACGAUCUGUAGCGGGUCUGAGAGGAUGAUCCGCCACACUGGGACUGAGACACGGCCCAGACUCCUACGGGAGGCAGCAGUGGGGAAUAUUGGACAAUGGGGGGAACCCUGAUCCAGCCAUGCCGCGUGUGUGAAGAAGGCCUUUUGGUUGUAAAGCACUUUAAGCGAGGAGGAGGCUACCGAGAUUAAUACUCUUGGAUAGUGGACGUUACUCGCAGAAUAAGCACCGGCUAACUCUGUGCCAGCAGCCGCGGUAAUACAGAGGGUGCAAGCGUUAAUCGGAUUUACUGGGCGUAAAGCGCGCGUAGGUGGCCAAUUAAGUCAAAUGUGAAAUCCCCGAGCUUAACUUGGGAAUUGCAUUCGAUACUGGUUGGCUAGAGUAUGGGAGAGGAUGGUAGAAUUCCAGGUGUAGCGGUGAAAUGCGUAGAGAUCUGGAGGAAUACCGAUGGCGAAGGCAGCCAUCUGGCCUAAUACUGACACUGAGGUGCGAAAGCAUGGGGAGCAAACAGGAUUAGAUACCCUGGUAGUCC